rnacentral:rRNA from 1 species
UGAGGAAUAUUGGGCAAUGGACGGACGUCUGACCCAGCCAUGCCGCGUGAAGGAUGAAGGCGUUCUGCGUUGUAAACUUCUUUUAUCAGGGAAGAAACCGAUUUUUUCCAAAGUCGUUGACGGUACCUGAGGAAUAAGCACCGGCUAACUCCGUGCCAGCAGCCGCGGUAAUACGGAGGGUGCAAGCGUUAUCCGGAUUUACCGGGUUUAAAGGGUGCGUAGGCGGGCAUAUAAGUCAGUGGUGAAAUCUUCCGGCUCAACCGGGAAACUGCCGUUGAUACUAUAUGUCUUGAAUUAUGUUGAGGUUGGCGGAAUACAACAUGUAGCGGUGAAAUGCAUAGAUAUGUUGUAGAACACCGAUUGCGAANNAGCUGACUAAACAUAUAUUGACGCUGAUGCACGAAAGCGUGGGUAGCGAACAGGAUUAGAUACCCUGGUAGUCCACGCCCUAAACGAUGAUUACUCGUCAUACGUGAUACACAAUGUGUGACUAAGCGAAAGCAUUAAGUAAUCCACCUGGGAAGUACGUUCGCAAGAAUG